AAAUUAUAUUAUAAAUACAAUAAAAGCAAUAUACUUUUACAGUAUUUAUAAUGUAAUUUUCUCUUUUAUAAUUAAGAUUUAAUGCUUCCUGCCAUUGAACUGUGCUUAUUCUCCUAGUUGAUACAUUUAGACAGUAGUAUUUUGAACUUUAUGUAAUGCAGGUGGCACCAGCCAAUAUUAGUAAAAACCAAUUAUCAACAUUCACUGUAAAUGUAGAAAGACUAAGUUUUCUCCAACAGUUUUCUUCUAUGUCUAUUUUCAACUUGAAACUCCCAGUAAAAUCAAAGAAAUUACUUAUCAACACCCAGAAAUAAUGUCUUGCUACUGCAAUCAUGAAUGCAAGAAGAGUAGUUUUUGCAAACUAAAUGUUAGUCCUUUUAACAUGUUAGACUUAGAUGUCUUACCAUUAGUCCACCCACAAUAUACUUUGUUUAUAUGUUGUAAACAUGAAAAACUUAGAAAAAAAAACAUCAAGGAACUCAAAUAAAUCCUCCACAAACAAGAAUGUAAAUUUAAAGAUCCACCAGCAAAAAUAUAUGUGGUGUUAGACAACAUACAAGUAUCUCCUAUUACACAUGAAGUUUUGUCUUAGGGUUUGAAUGCUCUAGUGGAAAACACACUAAACUGGAAAAAGGUAACAAUCCAAAUAGAACUAUAUUACUCAGUACUUGUCCAGAUAUGGUGGCAGAGGACAUUAGAUGGCAAAUGAUCUAUUUUAUGAAGAAUUAUAAAAAUAGGAAGAAAAUACAAGUAAACAAAGCAAAAAUAAACUUUACAAUCAAUUUGCUUGCAAAUAAUAAUUUAACAUGUGCUAAAGACAACAAAACAAAAAUGAUAUUGAUUCUCAGACAAGAAACAUAUACAGUCAGACCUCGUUAUAAGAUCACCCCGCUUAUAUGGUCACUUUUGGAAAGCCCCUGCCAACUUAACAG
rnacentral:lncRNA from 1 species